UUCCAGACUCCUACGGGAGGCAGCAGUGAGGAAUAUUGGUCAAUGGACGCAAGUCUGAACCAGCCAUGCCGCGUGCAGGAAGACGGCUCUAUGAGUUGUAAACUGCUUUUGUACGAGGGUAAACGCAGAUACGUGUAUCUGUCUGAAAGUAUCGUACGAAUAAGGAUCGGCUAACUCCGUGCCAGCAGCCGCGGUAAUACGGAGGAUUCAAGCGUUAUCCGGAUUUAUUGGGUUUAAAGGGUGCGUAGGCGGUCGGAUAAGUUAGAGGUGAAAUCCCGAGGCUCAACUUCGGAAUUGCCUCUGACACUGUUCGGCUAGAGAGUAGUUGCGGUAGGCGGAAUGCGUGGUGUAGCGGUGAAAUGCAUAGAUAUCACGCAGAACUCCGAUCGCGAAGGCAGCCUACCGGCGCGCAACUGACGCUCAUGCACGAAAGCGUGGGUAUCGAACAGGAUUAGAUACCCCCGUACU
rnacentral:rRNA from 1 species